CCUACGGGUGACAGCAGUGAGGAAUAUUGGUCAAUGGACGAGAGUCUGAACCAGCCAAGUAGCGUGAAGGAUGACUGUACUAUGUGUUGUAAACUUCUUUUAUAAAGGAACAAAACGAGGCACGCGUGCCUGUAUGCAUGUACCUGAAGAAAAAGCAUCGGCUAACUCCGUGCCAGCAGCCGCGGUAAUACGGAGGAUGCGAGCGUUAUCCGGAUUUAUUGGGUUUAAAGGGUGCGUAGAUGGUUUGUUAAGUCAGUUGUUAAAGUUUGCGGCUCAACCGUCGAACUGCAGUUGAAACUGGCAGUCUUGAGUACGGUUGAGGUAGGCGGAAUUCGUGGUGUAGCGGUGAAAUGCUUAGAUAUCGCGAAGAACCCCGAUUGCGAAGGCAGCUUACUAAACUGUGACUGACAUUGAUGCUCGAAAGUGUGGGUAUCGAACAGGAUUAGAUACCCUAGUAGUC
rnacentral:rRNA from 1 species